rnacentral:rRNA from 1 species
AUGAACGCUAGCUACAGGCUUAACACAUGCAAGUCGAGGGGCAGCAUGGUCUUAGUUUGCUAAGGCUGAUGGCGACCGGCGCACGGGUGAGUAACACGUAUCCAACCUGCCGUCUACUCUUGGCCAGCCUUCUGAAAGGAAGAUUAAUCCAGGAUGGGAUCAUGAGUUCACAUGUCCGCAUGAUUAAAGGUAUUUUCCGGUAGACGAUGGGGAUGCGUUCCAUUAGAUAGUAGGCGGGGUAACGGCCCACCUAGUCAACGAUGGAUAGGGGUUCUGAGAGGAAGGUCCCCCACAUUGGAACUGAGACACGGUCCAAACUCCUACGGGAGGCAGCAGUGAGGAAUAUUGGUCAAUGGGCGAUGGCCUGAACCAGCCAAGUAGCGUGAAGGAUGACUGCCCUAUGGGUUGUAAACUUCUUUUAUAAAGGAAUAAAGUCGGGUAUGCAUACCCGUUUGCAUGUACUUUAUGAAUAAGGAUCGGCUAACUCCGUGCCAGCAGCCGCGGUAAUACGGAGGAUCCGAGCGUUAUCCGGAUUUAUUGGGUUUAAAGGGAGCGUAGAUGGAUGUUUAAGUCAGUUGUGAAAGUUUGCGGCUCAACCGUAAAAUUGCAGUUGAUACUGGAUGUCUUGAGUGCAGUUGAGGCAGGCGGAAUUCGUGGUGUAGCGGUGAAAUGCUUAGAUAUCACGAAGAACUCCGAUUGCGAAGGCAGCCUGCUAAGCUGCAACUGACAUUGAGGCUCGAAAGUGUGGGUAUCAAACAGGAUUAGAUACCCUGGUAGUCCACACCGUAAACGAUGAUUACUAGGUGUUGGGAGAUUGACCCUCUCAGUGCCGCAGUUAACACAAUAAGUAAUCCACCUGGGGAGUACGACCGCAAGGUUGAAACUCAAAGGAAUUGACGGGGGCCCGCACAAGCAGUGGAGUAUGUGGUUUAAUUCGACGCAACGCGAAGAACCUUACCAGGGCUUGACAUAUACAGGAAUAUAUAAGAGAUUAUAUAGCUCUUCGGAGUCUGUAUACAGGUGGUGCAUGGUUGUCGUCAGCUCGUGCCGUGAGGUGUUGGGUUAAGUCCCGCAACGAGCGCAACCCCUGUCCUUAGUUGCCAGCAUGUAGAGAUGGGAACUCUAAGGAGACUGCCGUAGAUAAUACGGAGGAAGGUGGGGAUGACGUCAAAUCAGCACGGCCCUUACGUCCGGGGCUACACACGUGUUACAAUGGGGGGUACAGAGGGCCGCUACCACGCGAGUGGAUGCCAAUCCCUAAAACCCCUCUCAGUUCGGACUGGAGUCUGCAACCCGACUCCACGAAGCUGGAUUCGCUAGUAAUCGCGCAUCAGCCACGGCGCGGUGAAUACGUUCCCGGGCCUUGUACACACCGCCCGUCACACCAUGAGAGUUGGGGAUACCCGAAGCCUGUGAGCUAACUUUUAGAGGCAGCAGUCGAAGGUAGAAUCAAUGAUUGGGGUG